GUGGGUACGGCCCAGGGGGGGGGAGAGGGACGCACCCUGGGCCCCAGGGAGCCCAGGGUGCAGCCGGACUGACCGAGCCCCUGUGCCGCCCCCAG
ensembl:miRNA MIR1225 microRNA 1225